CAGGAGACAGGUGGACGAUGUACAGAGGUGAAAUUUUGCAAUGGAUCAGAGCGGUCAAGCAAACAUGGAUCCAGCAGUUUUCGCUGCCUUCGACAUCCCUCAGACACUGGCCUCGAGACACCCGUGGACAAACCCCUUCGACUAUCAGGUACUAUUAAACUCACUAAAACACUAGCAACACAAUAGAAAGAUAAGGGAUUUCCCAGAAUUAUCCUAGUAAAUGUGUCUAAAAACAUCUGAAUCUGUCCCAAUGCAAUCGCCUUUUUUUUUUUUUUUUACUUGAUUUUUAUUUUUUCUAGCCCUUCUUUAUCAAUAUCCUCAAACACGAAUCUUUCUUCCUCGCUCAAAUUAAUGGGGAAAUUGUCGUUUUCUCGGUCCGAAUAGCUCUUUUCGUUGGAGGCUCCCAUUAAAAACAAUGUGAGGACGUGAGGAGCCCUCAACGGGUGACGUCAUAGUCUGCGACUUCCGGUAAAGGCAGGGCUUUUCUGUUAGCGACCAAAACUUGCGAACUUUAUCGUCGAUGUUCUCUACUAAAUCCUUUCAGCAAAAAUAUUGCAAUAACGCAAAAAGAUCAAGUAUGACACAUAGAAUGGACCAGCUAUCCUCGUUUAAAUAAGAAAAUCUCAUUUCAGUAGGCCUUUAAAAAGAACGUGGAAAAGAAAAAAAAGUACCGGAAAUUGAAGUGGACUUUUGUGAGCUUGUCCUACAUAAUAGUAAUGAAAACAUUAUUAAUGAGAAACAUGAAUAGAUGUUACACUACAGUAAUUAUAUUGGUCACCUAUAACGCAAAUACGAUAACAUGUUGGAUUGGAUUGGUUUUAGCAUUUUUAAUAAUAAAGUGGCCCCAUAUCCUUCCAUUUUUAAGUACGGUUUUUAGAAAUAGUUGAAACAACACUGACCUAAAGCAAACUCCACUUGUGACUUUGGCCUUUUCUUUAGAUUAAAAAACAAACAAAAAAACAAGUAGUUACAAGUGGGGUGGGGUUGGGGACUGUUUACACCGACAAGCAAAUUAAUCAAAGAUAUAGAAGCUAAAAUAAUCAACAUGUUUAAAGCAUAAGAUAAAAAUAAAAACAUACCCGUUUAAUAAUUGUCAGAACGUAUCUCAAAUGAGACUCUUGUAAUUCGUGACAUGACGCCAGCACAUUCCGGCCGGUCUUUCAUUUGUAGUUAACAAUAAAAUAUAUUAUACAAUGUUGGUUUAAUACACAUAACAUACAUCAUGUGUAUGUUUUGUUAGUCACUAAUAAGUAGACAAGAAUAAUAAAUCGCGGUAGUUCACAAUAAGUAUAGCAUUUGUGCCUCGAUUAUGUUCAUU